UAAAAAAUUUGGCGGUAUUUUAGUCUAUUCAGAGGAACCUGUUUUAUAAUCGAUAAUCCACGGUGGACCUUACUUAAAUUUGUAAUCAGUUUAUAUACCGUUGUUAUUAGAAUAUUUUAUAAGAAUGAUAAUUUUCAUAAUUUUUUUAAAAAAGUAUAUCAAAUCAAGGUGUAGCUUAUAUUUAAGUAAAAAUGGGUUACAAUAAAUUUAUUUAAAUGAAUAUAAAUUUGAAAUGUUUAUUGAAGGUGGAUUUGAUAGUAAAAUUAUAUAGAUUAAUAAUUUGAUUUUAGCUCUAAAAUAUGUACACAUCGCCCGUCACUCUUAUUAUUAAGAUAAGAUAAGUCGUAACAUAGUAGAUGUACUGGAAAGUGUAUCUAGAAUGCAAUUUAAAGCUUAUAAAGUAAAGUAUUUCAUUUACAUUGAAAAGAUUUUUGUGCAAAUCAAUAUGAAUUGAUUAAAUUUUAUUUAUUAAUUUUUUUUAAAAUUGUAUUUAAAUUAUUAAAAAUAAUUGUAGGUUGAUAAUUUUUAGUAUUUUAUAAAGAAAAAAUAAUUUUUAUAAUAGUUUAUUAGUAUUGUGAAAGAAAAUUGAAAUAAUUUGAAAAAUUUUUAUAUUGUAAGAAAAUUU
rnacentral:rRNA from 1 species